rnacentral:rRNA from 1 species
CGCGUAGGCGGCGGACCUUGUCGAGUGUGAAAGCCCCGGGCUCAACCUGGGAGGUGCGCUCGAGACGGGUUUGCUGGAGUUCGGGAGAGGAGAGUGGAAUUCCCAGUGUAGAGGUGAAAUUCGUAGAUAUUGGGAAGAACACCGGUGGCGAAGGCGGCUCUCUGGACCGAGACUGACGCUGAGGCGCGAAAGCGUGGGGAGCAAACAGGAUUAGAUACCCUGGUAGUCCACGCUGUAAACGAUGUGUGCUAGACGUUGGGGAGCGUAGCUCUUCGGUGUCGCCGCAAACGCUUUAAGCACACCGCCUGGGGAGUACGGCCGCAAGGUUAAA